ensembl:lncRNA
GAGUGAGCAGGUGAUCCUGGCCUCUGAGUUACUGCCCGGCAACUGAGAGUCCUCGCACUGGAGUAACACUGAACGCUGAUGAUGCACAGCCCCGUGGUGUCUUUGGUGCCCUACUCUGGCUCUGGUCUCUCUUAGAGAGCAGAUUCAGUGUUUCACAAUCACAUGGGUCUUUCUUUAAGUGAACACUGAUGAGACUUUAAAGGUGGAGUAAUUGGGCUGAUAAGAUAAUGAGCCCUAAAGUGGAUAAUAAUAUUGAGCUCUAGAAGGGAUAAUAGUAUUGAUCUGCCUAUCAGGCCUGUUGGGAGGAUUAGCUCACUGGCAAUUGGGAAGAACUUUGCAAUGAAGGAACAUAAAUGAUAGCACAUUUGGGAGUCCCCUUGUUCCCUUUGGAAUAACUCCCUGGAGUGAUUUAAGCAGUCAUAAGAUGCUAUGGCAACCUAGGCCUGCCUAAUGGAAACUGUCAUUUCUAUAUUCCUCCUUCAAUUCCAUAUUCUUUACCUCAACCAUCAGGAGAGGACUUGUCUUCUUUAAAAAUGAAGUACAGUGAGAAAGCAUUGACUUUUAGGCUUCUGGUGAGAAGCACUGUCAUGGGGGAAAUUCUGGGUGCUUUUAAGAACACUAUCUAGAGACACUCUUGUCUGUGGUCAUCGAAGUAAUGGGUGGAAGAAUGAUCCUUAGAAGAGCAAUCAGAGAUGGCUGUGAAGGGCUCUGCCAACUGGGGGCUCAAGAGAGGCUGAUACGAGGCUUUGGGUUUGUGAUUCUUUACUGUCGUCAGGGAAACAUUAGCUCUCUCUCACGCACUUCCAUAGUUCAUGUGGGAAAGCUACUCUGCUGUUUUCACGAUGUCAUUAUUAUAGUACUAUGGGUUUCAGAGUAGGUGUUCAAUACAUGCUGAUUGAUGGAUGUUCUGGUGUUCGUACAUGUAUCAUUGCUUCCCCACAAGCAAGUUUUUCCUGUUUUGGCAAAUGCUUUGCCAUAUUCUCUCUGUCCUAAAGCCCUUGUGAAAAACACAUGAAUGAAUGCAGUGAUUAGCUCAGGGNNNNNNNNNNNNNNNNNNNNNNNNNNNNNNNNNNNNNNNNNNNNNNNNNNNNNNNNNNNNNNNNNNNNNNNNNNNNNNNNNNNNNNNNNNNNNNNNNNNAACACAUGAAUGAAUGCAGUGAUUAGCUCAGGGUCAAAGCUCGAAAAUGGCUAAACCAAGAUGGCCCCAGAGCUUCCAACACCAAGCCUAGAUAGAGGCCCUUCCAUUCUGCAGCCUGGCCAGCCAUAGCCAGGUUGCAAUCCAAUCACACGCCUUCCGGAGGACUGUAAUGGAAAAACCACUCCUGGGCUUCUCCUUCACUCUCAUGAUACCCCCAUGGUCACAACACUCCUGACACCAGCUGUCGGGGGUGGCUUCCUCACACAAAGCAAUGCUCUGCAACACUAACUGGAGUGUCCUGCAAUUCGAUUCAGUUCUAAUACUGACUGGAGCUCGUGUAGAUCCACAAGAUUGCCCCUACUUCAGACACCAAGUGCAGUUAUAAGAGGUAGGUCCCCAGGCUACCCACAAAUUCUACCCAUCUUGGCUACAAAUUACAAGUUCCCAUGACCCACCCCCACCCAGGAUUCAAUUAUUUGCUAGAACAGCUCAUAGCAUUCAGGGAAAUAGUUACUUACUGUACUGCUUUAUUACAUCAUACAGGGUAUGAUACAGUAUACAGGCAAAUAGCCAGAUGAAGAGAUAGAUAGGGCAAGGUUGGGGGUGGGGUGGUCCUGAGUGCAUGAGCUUCUGUCCCUCUGGGUUGGGAUGCAUUACUCUCCCAGAACAUGGAUGUGAACCAUUCUGGAAGUUCUCUGAAGCCCACACUGUUGGAAUUUUUAUGCAAGCUUCACAUAAGCACAAUAAAUUAUUAACUUGAUUUCUAGCCCCUUUCCUCUUCCCCUUUCAAGAGGGUGGGGAGGUGGGAGGAGAUGCACUGAAAGUCUGCAUUUCCCCCAUGACCGAAAGUCCUAAGUUUUGAAUCAUGGUUUGGUCUUUCUGGUGACCAGCCCCAUGCAGGAGCCCACCAGGAGUCACCUCAUUAAAACAGAAGACAGUCUUCAGUUCAGUUCAGUCAUUCAGUCAUGUCUGACUCUUUGCAACCCCAUG